rnacentral:lncRNA from 1 species
AUGCUGAUUUUAGGAUAAAAAUAUAUGCUUAUAAUAAACAAUCAAAAUGAUAUAUAAAAUUAAGAGAGCAUAUUGAAUCAUUCUAAGGAUUGAGUAAAAUCAUCAUAAUAUGUGUUCUAAUAUCAUGUAUAAAUAUUAAAAGAGCAAUAAAAUCAAUCAAUUUAGCAGUUAAUAGAGGUAUGAUAUCAAAGAAUUUAGUUUUUAUCAAAUAUCAUCAUCC